AACGAUGUAGCUCAGUUGGUAGAGCAAUCUGUAACACAGAUAGGUCGGCGGUUCAAUUCCGCCCAUCGUUC
rnacentral:tRNA from 2 species